rnacentral:rRNA from 1 species
GAUGAACGCUAGCUACAGGCUUAACACAUGCAAGUCGAGGGGCAGCAUGAACUUAGCUUGCUAAGUUUGAUGGCGACCGGCGCACGGGUGAGUAACACGUAUCCAACCUGCCGAUGACUCGGGGAUAGCCUUUCGAAAGAAAGAUUAAUACCCGAUGGCAUAAUUCUUCCGCAUGGUAGAACUAUUAAAGAAUUUCGGUCAUCGAUGGGGAUGCGUUCCAUUAGGUUGUUGGCGGGGUAACGGCCCACCAAGCCUUCGAUGGAUAGGGGUUCUGAGAGGAAGGUCCCCCACAUUGGAACUGAGACACGGUCCAAACUCCUACGGGAGGCAGCAGUGAGGAAUAUUGGUCAAUGGACGAGAGUCUGAACCAGCCAAGUAGCGUGAAGGAUGAAGGUCCUACGGAUUGUAAACUUCUUUAUAAGGGAAUAAAACCUCCCACGUGUGGGAGCUUGUAUGUACCUUAUGAAUAAGCAUCGGCUAACUCCGUGCCAGC